rnacentral:lncRNA from 1 species
AGCAUCUCAAAAAUAAAUAUAAAGUCUAAACAUUUGAGUAACACUCUUCUUCAACAUUAAUAAUAUUUGGUGCUUCAACUUGAUCCAUGUCUUCUUGCUCAUCAUCUUCACCAUCUAUUAAAACAAAACAAUAUAAUUAAAGCAUAAUAUAGUUUGAUAAUUUGAAACAUAAUAACAAAAAGGGAAUCUUACUGCAACAUGAACAAAAUUAUAUUAAAAUUAUAUCAACACUUGGAGAUGAGUCCUCCAUCUUUAACACCUAAGGGCUACAACAUGAACAAAAUUAUAUUAAAAUUAGAAACAAAGGGGCAAGUAAUAGAAAUUUGAGAGGAUACACAAAUAAGAAUUUUUUGUCUCACUGCAUACCCUACGCAAAUAAGAAUUUUUUGCACUUCACAAUCCACAACUUCAAUCAUGAUAUAUUUAUUAUUUUGUUCCACAGAAUUUACAAAAUUGCUAAGGCAGUAAUACUAAUACCCAAAUGUUCCUACUACUAAACCGAACAAUACAUUAUGAAAUGUAUAAGCAUGGUCAAACUUCCACAAUCACAAUUCAAAUUCUUUUCAUCUAAUUGUAAUAAUACAGAUCCCCACACCCUGAAAUAAGAAUAAGUGCAUUGCUUUGGAACCAAAGCAUUGCAGCUUACUGGUAUUCCUCCCCUGUUGUAAAGGUGAGAGACAUGAGUAAGAAUCACAAUCCUCCCGUCCCCAACUCAAUGAAAAGAGCAUUGCUCUGGAAUCUGGAUUAUCUUUCUUUCUUUUUCAAUGGCUGGACAGCCCGGACUGCAAAUUAAACAAUUGUAAAAGAAGUUCAGCAUAUACCUUACCUUAAGCUUUAGGCAGAGGCGGUGGUGGUGGACCUGGUGGUGAACUGGUGAUAGCUGAGGCGGCCAGAUGCAGGGGUGAAGCGAGCCCGAGGCCGGAGGUGGUGGCGGCUGAGGCGGCGACUCGAGCUGGUAGUUCCAGGCGGCCGCUGACGCGAGUGGAGGCAUCGUGUCGUGGUGGUGCCGGCGUGCAGCAGUGGUUGACCUGGUGGUUCCGGGUCAGUGGCAAACGGCGGCUGCAGCGGACGGCGUGGAUCUUUGAGGUGGUGGCGGACGGCGCGGCGAGGUGAAUUGAAAUUGGGAAAAGAAAGGAGGAAAAAUGGAGGACUGGAGGAGGCGCCG